rnacentral:tRNA from 1 species
ACUCGCGUAGCUCAGCGGAGUAGAGCAGCGGCCUACGAAGCCGCGUGUCGCUGGUUCGAGUCCAGCCGCGAGUGCCA